rnacentral:rRNA from 1 species
GAAAGCUAUUUAGGUAGCGCCUCGUGAAUUCAUCUCCGGGGGUAGAGCACUGUUUCGGCAAGGGGGUCAUCCCGACUUACCAACCCGAUGCAAACUGCGAAUACCGGAGAAUGUUAUCACGGGAGACACACGGCGGGUGCUAACGUCCGUCGUGAAGAGGGAAACAACCCAGACCGCCAGCUAAGGUCCCAAAGUCAUGGUUAAGUGGGAAACGAUGUGGGAAGGCCCAGACAGCCAGGAUGUUGGCUUAGAAGCAGCCAUCAUUUAAAGAAAGCGUAAUAGCUCACUGGUCGAGUCGGCCUGCGCGGAAGAUGUAACGGGGCUAAACCAUGCACCGAAGCUGCGGCAGCGACACUAUGUGUUGUUGGGUAGGGGAGCGUUCUGUAAGCCUGCGAAGGUGUGCUGUGAGGCAUGCUGGAGGUAUCAGAAGUGCGAAUGCUGACAUAAGUAACGAUAAAGCGGGUGAAAAGCCCGCUCGCCGGAAGACCAAGGGUUCCUGUCCAACGUUAAUCGGGGCAGGGUGAGUCGACCCCUAAGGCGAGGCCGAAAGGCGUAGUCGAUGGGAAACAGGUUAAUAUUCCUGUACUUGGUGUUACUGCGAAGGGGGGACGGAGAAGGCUAUGUUGGCCGGGCGACGGUUGUCCCGGUUUAAGCGUGUAGGCUGGUUUUCCAGGCAAAUCCGGAAAAUCAAGGCUGAGGCGUGAUGACGAGGCACUACGGUGCUGAAGCAACAAAUGCCCUGCUUCCAGGAAAAGCCUCUAAGCAUCAGGUAACAUCAAAUCGUACCCCAAACCGACACAGGUGGUCAGGUAGAGAAUACCAAGGCGCUUGAGAGAACUCGGGUGAAGGAACUAGGCAAAAUGGUGCCGUAACUUCGGGAGAA